rnacentral:rRNA from 1 species
UGGGGAAUAUUGGACAAUGGGCGCAAGCCUGAUCCAGCCAUGCCGCGUGAGUGAUGAAGGCCCUAGGGUUGUAAAGCUCUUUCACCGGUGAAGAUAAUGACGGUAACCGGAGAAGAAGCCCCGGCUAACUUCGUGCCAGCAGCCGCGGUAAUACGAAGGGGGCUAGCGUUGUUAGGAUUUACUGGGCGUAAAGCGCACGUAGGCGGACUAUUAAGUCAGGGGUGAAAUCCCGGGGCUCAACCCCGGAACUGCCUUUGAUACUGGUAGUCUUGAGUUCGAGAGAGGGGAGUGGAAUUCCGAGUGUAGAGGUGAAAUUCGUAGAUAUUCGGAGGAACACCAGUGGCGAAGGCGGCUCACUGGCUCGAUACUGACGCUGAGGUGCGAAAGCGUGGGGAGCAAACAGG